rnacentral:rRNA from 1 species
UCGGGAAUUUUGGGCAAUGGGCGAAAGCCUGACCCAGCAACGCCGCGUGAAGGAUGAAGUAUUUCGGUAUGUAAACUUCGAAAGAAUAGGAAGAAUAAAUGACGGUACUAUUUAUAAGGUCCGGCUAACUACGUGCCAGCAGCCGCGGUAAUACGUAGGGACCAGGCGUUGUUCGGAUUUACUGGGCGUAAAGGGCGCGUAGGCGGCAUGACAAGUCACUUGUGAAAUCUCUGGGCUUAACCCAGAACGGCCAAGUGAUACUGUCGCGCUAGAGUGCAGAAGGGGCAAUCGGAAUUCUUGGUGUAGCGGUGAAAUGCGUAGAUAUCAAGAGGAACACCUGAGGUGAAGACGGGUUGCUGGGCUGACACUGACGCUGAGGCGCGAAAGCCAGGGGAGCAAACGGGAUUAGAUACCCAAGUAGUCCUGAGCGGGCUGGCAAGGCGCAU